rnacentral:rRNA from 1 species
AUACUCCUGACUGACCGAUAGUGAACCAGUACCGUGAGGGAAAGGCGAAAAGAACCCCUGUGAGGGGAGUGAAAUAGAACCUGAAACCGUGUACGUACAAGCAGUAGGAGCACCUUCGUGGUGUGACUGCGUACCUUUUGUAUAAUGGGUCAGCGACUUAUAUUCAGUGGCAAGGUUAACCGUAUAGGGGAGCCGUAGCGAAAGCGAGUCUUAACUGGGCGCUCAGUCUCUGGAUAUAGACCCGAAACCGGGUGAUCUAGCCAUGGGCAGGUUGAAGGUUGAGUAACAUCAACUGGAGGACCGAACCGACUAAUGUUGAAAAAUUAGCGGAUGACUUGUGGCUAGGGGUGAAAGGCCAAUCAAACUCGGAGAUAGCUGGUUCUCCCCGAAAGCUAUUUAGGUAGCGCCUCGGACGAAUACUACUGGGGGUAGAGCACUGUUAAGGCUAGGGGGUCAUCCCGACUUACCAACCCUUUGCAAACUCCGAAUACCAGUAAGUACUAUCCGGGAGACACACGGCGGGUGCUAACGUCCGUCGUGGAGAGGGAAACAACCCAGACCGCCAGCUAAGGUCCCAAAGUAUUGCUAAGUGGGAAACGAUGUGGGAAGGCUCAGACAGCUAGGAUGUUGGCUUAGAAGCAGCCAUCAUUUAAAGAAAGCGUAAUAGCUCACUAGUCGAGUCGGCCUGCGCGGAAGAUGUAACGGGGCUAAGCAAUACACCGAAGCUGCGGCAAUAUCUUUUAGAUAUUGGGUAGGGGAGCGUUCUGUAAGCCGUUGAAGGUGAAUCGUAAGGUUUGCUGGAGGUAUCAGAAGUGCGAAUGCUGACAUGAGUAACGACAAAGGGGGUGAAAAACCUCCUCGCCGGAAGACCAAGGGUUCCUGUCCAACGUUAAUCGGGGCAGGGUGAGUCGACCCCUAAGGUGAGGCCGAAAGGCGUAAUCGAUGGGAAACGGGUUAAUAUUCCCGUACUUCUGACUAUUGCGAUGGGGGGACGGAGAAGGCUAGGUGAGCCAGGCGACGGUUGUCCUGGUUCAAGUGCGUAGGCUUGAGAGUUAGGUAAAUCCGGCUCUCUCUAAGGCUGAGACACGACGUCGAGCUGCUACGGCAGUGAAGUCAUUGAUGCCAUGCUUCCAGGAAAAGCCUCUAAGCUUCAGAUAGUCAGGAAUCGUACCCCAAACCGACACAGGUGGUCGGGUAGAGAAUACCAAGGCGCUUGAGAGAACUCGGGUGAAGGAACUAGGCAAAAUGGUACCGUAACUUCGGGAGAAGGUACGCUCUUGAUGGUGAAGUCCCUCGCGGAUGGAGCUGACGAGAGUCGCAGAUACCAGGUGGCUGCAACUGUUUAUUAAAAACACAGCACUGUGCAAAAUCGCAAGAUGACGUAUACGGUGUGACGCCUGCCCGGUGCCGGAAGGUUAAUUGAUGGGGUUAGCGCAAGCGAAGCUCUUGAUCGAAGCCCCGGUAAACGGCGGCCGUAACUAUAACGGUCCUAAGGUAGCGAAAUUCCUUGUCGGGUAAGUUCCGACCUGCACGAAUGGCGUAAUGAUGGCCACGCUGUCUCCACCCGAGACUCAGUGAAAUUGAAAUCGCUGUGAAGAUGCAGUGUACCCGCGGCUAGACGGAAAGACCCCGUGAACCUUUACUACAGCUUGGCACUGAACAUUGAACCUACAUGUGUAGGAUAGGUGGGAGGCUAUGAAGACGUGACGCCAGUUGCGUUGGAGCCGUCCUUGAAAUACCACCCUUGUAUGUUUGAUGUUCUAACUUAGACCCAUUAUCUGGGUUGAGGACAGUGCCUGGUGGGUAGUUUGACUGGGGCGGUCUCCUCCCAAAGAGUAACGGAGGAGCACGAAGGUGGGCUAAUCACGGUUGGACAUCGUGAGGUUAGUGCAAUGGCAUAAGCCCGCUUAACUGCGAGAAUGACGGUUCGAGCAGGUGCGAAAGCAGGUCAUAGUGAUCCGGUGGUUCUGUAUGGAAGGGCCAUCGCUCAACGGAUAAAAGGUACUCCGGGGAUAACAGGCUGAUACCGCCCAAGAGUUCAUAUCGACGGCGGUGUUUGGCACCUCGAUGUCGGCUCAUCACAUCCUGGGGCUGAAGUCGGUCCCAAGGGUAUGGCUGUUCGCCAUUUAAAGUGGUACGCGAGCUGGGUUUAGAACGUCGUGAGACAGUUCGGUCCCUAUCUGCCGUGGGCGUUGGAAGAUUGAAGGGGGCUGCUCCUAGUACGAGAGGACCGGAGUGGACGAACCUCUGGUGUUCGGGUUGUGUCGCCAGACGCAUUGCCCGGUAGCUAAGUUCGGAAUUGAUAAGCGCUGAAAGCAUCUAAGCGCGAAGCGAGCCCUGAGAUGAGUCUUCCCUGAUACUUUAAGUAUCCUAAAGGGUUGUUCGAGACUAGAACGUUGAUAGGCAGGGUGUGUAAGCGUUGUGAGGCGUUGAGCUAACCUGUACUAAUUGCCCGUGAGGCUUAACCA